CACGUAGGCGGAUUGGUAAGUCAGAUGUGAAAUCCCGGAGCUCAACUCCGGAACUGCAUUUGAUACUGCCAGUCUUGAGUGAGGUAGAGGGGAGUGGAAUUCCCGGUGUAGAGGUGAAAUUCGUAGAUAUCGGGAGGAACACCAGAGGCGAAGGCGACCCCCUGGGCCUCUACUGACGCUGAGGUGCGAAAGCGUGGGGAGCAAACA
rnacentral:rRNA from 1 species